CUCCACCGGAUCCUACACAGGAACAACAGUUACGCUCAUCCUAGUGACCAUAACAAAUCGAGGUACAUUUCUCUACUCAUUACAGGACCUUUUUCAUACAAGACCUAACGCGGUCUCGAUUCAUUACGAUUAACUCAAGGUCCUACGUCCUUGGUGUGUUAAAUUCUCUAAAUUUUUUCUUACUCAUGAAUACGGUCAUACUGCCAUCAGGCAAGAAAUUACCCAACCUACCUAACCCGGUACUCAGCCACACUACCAGGUACUUACGUCCUUAUUCAUUACGGCAUUCACUACCCCAAGGCCUCAAUUAGCCUCUCUCUAUAACGUAAACUCGCCUCAGUCUUAGACUAACCAUUCAGAUCCCUCACUUAGGAUCGCACGUCUCACCCCUAACAGCCAACCCCUACCACAAAUCAUACGCCAUCACUUAACGCAUAAAUACAUCAACAUCUGUCUUAAUACUUAGGCUUCUUCUACGAGGACAGCAGCAGCCAAGACUCGCUACAUAAUAACAUUCGAAGGUUCCAGCUCUCUAUUAUAAACCCUUCAAGGUUAGUAUCCACACAUUACACCAGCAUUACCAUUCAACCUUUAGUAUACAAGUGAACUGGCUUGCAGGGUCUGGGCUACCGCCCUAGCUCACCCUAGUCCAGCUAGGCCAUCUCCCACCUCAACACGGAGGUACGGCCCCGCGCCCAAAUCAUAGUUAUAUGCCUCGCCCGCCCUACUACAGGGCUGUAGUGAGGGCCUCACCUGUCACGGCCACACGUUUUUGAAUCUCUUUACAGUCACCGAGAGGCCAACACCCUGCCACCACCACUUGGCACUAGCAGGG